rnacentral:rRNA from 1 species
GUGAGGAAUUUUCCGCAAUGGGCGAAAGCCUGACGGAGCAAUGCCGCGUGAAGGAUGAAGGCCUAUGGGUUGUAAACUUCUUUUCUUAGAGAAGAAUAUUGACGGUAUCUGAGGAAUAAGCAUCGGCUAACUCUGUGCCAGCAGCCGCGGUAAUACGAAGGGGGCGAGCGUUAUUCGGAAUCACUGGGCGUAAAGCGUGCGUAGGCUGUUUUGUAAGUCAGAAGUGAAAGCCCAGGGCUUAACCCUGGAAUUGCUUUUGAAACUACAAGACUCGAAUUCGGGAGAGGAUAGCGGAAUUGUCAGUGUAGCAGUGAAAUGCGUAGAUAUUGACAGGAACACCAGUGGCGCAAGCGGCUAUCUGGACCGAUAUUGACGCUGAGGCACGAAAGCGUGGGGAGCAAACAGGAUUAGAAACCCGAGUAGUCC